UAACUGCACUUCGUCUUCGGGCGCAGACAAACGUAACAGAUCCGCCGGUGUAGAAUACUACGAGGUAGCAUUGCGCGCACGGUGAAUAUACAUCGUUCGAUCCGAAGCGGCACUGGGUAGCAAGCGUGCUAGCACGAGUCGUCAGUGUCUACGACCCGGCUUUCCGAUCGCUAUUGACCAGUCAGCGAGUCGAAGAUCCGCCGCUCGGGUACGAGGCGCGGGUAGUUACCAAAGGGAAGAUGUAUCUACCGGUGCCACCUAAUACAAACCAACUUAGCCUUGAUAUAAGGAUUUUCAAGCGAGUCGGAGUCGGAGUCGGAGUCGGUGCCGAGCGGAAAGAGGAAGACGCAGAUACAGCGAGAUCUAUCGAUCCGAGAUUUUGAGUGGACACUGGAUGCAUCGGAGGCGCGUCGACUGGACACGUACCUAUCGAAUGCAUCUUUGCAUCGGUGAAUAGUCGCCGCGGAAAAGGUGCAAGCACCGCACGAUGAUCCUGAGAGGUCUCCAGGCUUAACUAACUGCGUUCCUUAUCUAAAUGGCAAUAAUAAUUGGCUGUGAAGCGUAUCCCGUAUCGAUACCCCGACAAACGUGCGAUGCACUGCCAUGGGAACAAUGCACCGUCUGACUUAUAGCGCGUUCGGUGUAUAGAAGGCGUUCAGACAGAGAGUUCCCGGAGAUGAUAGGUGCGAGGUACACGUUCCUGAAUCGAGAGGGGGAUAAUUCGGAAUUAUCAUUCACGUCUAAUCGAUAAUAGGCUCCGUACCUCCACGAGUUUCUGCUUGACAACGUAUUCGUUUGCGAAACUUGUUGAAUUUUCGAGGGCCCGAUGACGCUUGACAUUAACGCUCGAACGACCGAUCCUCUCGACAAAAAUACAACCGUGUACGCUUUCAGGAUCGUUCAUAUUUUUGUUUAUCAAUUUUAAUUGCAACAUAUUCUUCAAAGUAUCCCUUCUGCUUCUUCUUAUUGAAACACGUGGAGGUUGAAAUUAUACAGAUUUUCGACAGAAACCGGAUGGCUAAAUAUUUAAGCUCCGGGUUCAAAUGUGGGCACAGGCUUCGUUAUCCGAAUCUAUAAUAAUUUUAUGCCUGUUUCAACGUACUCGAUAACUUUGAAACUGUUCUUCCAAAGCCAUUUUGUGGUUGUACAAUUGUAGGAUAAAAUUGAAACAGAGUUGAAGAGGAUAUACGGCAAUAUUAAUCGAGCCUGAACGACGUACAUACCGAAUGGAACUGCGAAUAGAUGAUCGGCUUUCCAACAGCCCGUUAAUUAGUAGAACGAAUCGCGUAACGUUUGCACCAAUUAGCGCAUAAGCGGACGCAACAAUGGCAUCGCAACCGUGCAUUGCUAAGUAAUUGAGAGGCACGUCUAGCCGUGAUACGGUUAACAGUAACUCGGAUCGUUUUAUCUCCGAGGAAAAGUGAUAUUGCGUUACGUGCUCCGAUAUUUUGUAAUAAUAACAAUGAAUCGAACGUUGACCUUACUGGUGCGCUCCGAUUCAGGCAUGUGGUGUGUAAUACUGAUUUAUAGUUGGGAAAUCUUGAAAGCUUUUAUUAUUCGAUGCUAUUGCACAAUAUAAAUCCGAAUAAUUGAUUGACGUACGAAUGAAAUUGCUUUCGAGAAAUUUUUCAAGAAUCCCUCUAUUUUUUAUCCUAUUAUUUGCGCUAUUGUUUCAAGUAUGGGUCACAAUAGAGCGGUGUUUCAUAAUAGGUACAUUUACCUUUUAUCAAAGGUGUAAGAUCCUUUCAUCCGUCAUUCAAGUCGACCGAUAAGUUAAAACUAGCUUUACGAAAUGCGUGAAACGAAAUUACAAUGAUCGAGUGUGCGAUAAUUAUCAAUACUUUUCGAAAAAGGCUUCGACGAUGUAACGAAGCAGCAGGAGACAAUUUCGAACACUUAACGCAAAAUUUUAUAAAUUCUAUUGUUCAGUUUUGCGAUUAAUACGUUUGUUGAACUGAUAAAAUAUACAUAUAGAAGAUUAAA